UCUAUUCAUUAUUUAAUUUUGGAGAACGCCAUUUGGAGACCAUCCUUCAUGUUCAGUUGUGGCCUGUAUUUAUUUUUAAUCUAUGUGAGUGUCGUAGAGGUGUCAGAAAGUUUAACCUGGUGCCAUCAAAUCAAUGUGCUGCAUCUGACGCUAUUACUGUGUAUAACUGAAACACCCAAGCAGUCACAUGGCUUUUUAUUUGCAUGUUAUUUUUUUAUGUUUAUUGUUAACAAUGUUACUAUUAUCUACAAUUUUUCCUGUAGGUUGUGGAUAAAACAUGGUAAUUUGAAUAGUUUAGAUUUUUGGAAAUCAUUGUCCCCUGACCCCCACUUUAGGAACCACUGCUUUACAAUAUAGUAUAUCUGUUUCAGACUCUUGAUUUCAAGUGAAUAUUCUCUCCAUCAGUGACAUUACAGAAAGAGGAAACCCAGGGGGAAAUCACCAUAAUUAGUGUCAUAUGCUUGUGUUUAGGAAUACAGUACCAAUAGAAAACUAUGACUAUAAUAGCAAACUAAAAUUUAAGGUGAACUCAAUGACUCAUUUAUGCCUAUUGUAAUGAAUAUGGGGCACAUAUUAAUGCAGCUGAAUAUAAUUGUGUUUCUGAAUUUACAUGGAAGACAGAAUCUAACUCGGUUUCACUUCCUCCUUGAGUAAAGCAUAAAAGUGAGGAUCGAUAGCACAAGUUUCACUGCAAGCACUGAGAGAGAGAAAACCAGACCCCGAAACACCUCUGAUCAACAUCCAGAGACUCCUGUAGGAAAACGAUGCUGUGUGAAGGAAAGCUCUGGAGUCUGGCUUUUGAAGCUGAAGCCGAGUGUGUAAAUCCUCCUUCAUGCACCACAGUCACAGAGCCUUCCUCAACUUCACCAAAUAAUCCCCUCUCAGCUCAAAUCCCCGUCCACUCAGCUCCAGAGGUCCAUGCUAAUAUAACCCAGAUGAAAACCCAGAGCUACCCUCACCCUUCCUCUAUGGCAGGACAUGGUGUGGAUAUCCCCAGGCAUGUGGACACCCCUGAAACAGAAGCAUUUUUGGUGCCUUCGAGCUGCCACAGCAUUUGCCAGCAUUACAGCGAUUUACACAUAGCAGGCGGUCAGGUGUUGCCGCUCAGCCCCCAUGCAGGAGACAUACAGGGCCAUCACAGCCAGGAUCCCCAGCCUGGACCCUUUCUUGUGUCUGAAGAUGUUCCCUCACCCUCCCUCUUACCUCCUCUGGUCCACGAGUUCAGGAGCUCGAGGCGAUGGAAGGAAGAAAGCGGGCGUGAGCGUCCCUCUCUCCUGCAGUUCAGCCGGCCGCUCUCCAACUCUCAACUUAACGGCUAUCUUGAGCAGAAGCUUCUGGAGCUGUACAGACAGUACCUGACUGAGGGACCGGCUGUUAGCAGGCCCGUCAUGGCCUCUGAGCUUCUGCAGACCAGCCUGGACCAGAUGACCCUCCAGCUGAGCCGAGAGCAGAACAUGGAGACGGCAAGGGCAAAAGACAUGCUGCUCAGCUGCCUGCUCAGAGUCACCAGCACAUACCAGUCCAGCGAGAUCAGCACUCCUCUACUGCAGAUCUCCACUGAGACGCAAUGAGCUAGACAGAUAAAAGGAGAAGACUGACUG
rnacentral:lncRNA from 1 species